rnacentral:ncRNA from 1 species
AUACGCAUGAACCGGUGUUCGUCUUCAGCUACUGUUCUCUUUCAUUUCGAGCUCUUGCAGACAACGAAAGUGGACAGUUGCUGGAUUCGAUCUGAGAUUAUACGGUCAUAACUUGAUCUGGAUAAUACCAGCGCAAGGACAUGCUCUUGCUUCCA